rnacentral:rRNA from 1 species
UACGUAGGCAGCGAGCGUUGUUCGGAGUUACUGGGCGUAAAGGGUGCGUAGGCGGGUCUUUAAGUCAGGGGUGAAAUCCUGGAGCUCAACUCCAGAACUGCCUUUGAUACUGAAGAUCUUGAGUUCGGGAGAGGUGAGUGGAACUGCGAGUGUAGAGGUGAAAUCCGUAGAUAUUCGCAAGAACACCAGUGGCGAAGGCGGCUCACUGGCCCGAUACUGACGCUGAUGCACGAAAGCGUGGGGAGCAAACAGG